rnacentral:rRNA from 1 species
UAGAAAGUCACGGCUAACUACGUGCCAGCAGCCGCGGUAAUACGUAGGUGGCAAGCGUUAUCCGGAUUUAUUGGGCGUAAGAGAGUGCAGGCGGUUUUCUAAGUCUGAUGUGAAAGACCUUCGGCUUAACCGGAGAAGUAGCAUCGGAAACUAGGAUAACUUGAGUGCAGAAGAGGGUAGUGGAACUCCAUGUGUAGCGGUGGAAUGCGUAGAUAUAUGGAAGAACACCAGUGGCGAAGGCGGCUACCUGGUCUGCAACUGACGCUGAGACUCGAAAGCAUGGGUAGCGAACAGGAUUAGAUACCCUGGUAG